rnacentral:rRNA from 1 species
UACGGAGGGCGCAAGCGUUGUUCGGAAUUACUGGGCGUAAAGCGCGUGUAGGCGGCCAGGUAAGUCGGGUGUGAAAUCCCGGGGCCCAACCCCGGAACUGCACUCGAUACUGCCCGGCUGGAGUCCCGGAGAGGAUGGCGGAAUUUCCGGUGUAGAGGUGAAAUUCGUAGAUAUCGGAAGGAACACCAGUGGCGAAGGCGGCCAUCUGGACGGUGACUGACGCUGAGACGCGAAAGCGUGGGGAGCAAACAGG